rnacentral:rRNA from 3 species
UCGACCUGAGCUCAGGCAAGACUACCCGCUGAACUUAAGCAUAUCAAUAAGCGGAGGAAA